rnacentral:rRNA from 1 species
GACGAACGCUGGCGGCGUGCCUAAUACAUGCAAGUUGAGCGCUGAAGGUUGGUACUUGUACCAACUGGAUGAGCAGCGAACGGGUGAGUAACGCGUGGGGAAUCUGCCUUUGAGCGGGGGACAACAUUUGGAAACGAAUGCUAAUACCGCAUAAAAACUUUAAACACAAGUUUUAAGUUUGAAAGAUGCAAUUGCAUCACUCAAAGAUGAUCCCGCGUUGUAUUAGCUAGUUGGUGAGGUAAAGGCUCACCAAGGCGAUGAUACAUAGCCGACCUGAGAGGGUGAUCGGCCACAUUGGGAAUGAGACACGGCCCAAACGCCUACGGGAGGCAGCAGUAGGGAAUCUUCGGCAAUGGACGAAAGUCUGACCGAGCAACGCCGCGUGAGUGAAGAAGGUUUUCGGAUCGUAAAACUCUGUUGGUAGAGAAGAAAGUUGGUGAGAGUGGAAAGCUCAUCAAGUGACGGUAACUACCCAGAAAGGGACGGCUAACUACGUG